GAUGAACGCUAGCUACAGGCUUAACACAUGCAAGUCGAGGGGCAGCAUGAUUGAAGCUUGCUUCAAUCGAUGGCGACCGGCGCACGGGUGAGUAACACGUAUCCAACCUGCCGAUAACUCGGGGAUAGCCUUUCGAAAGAAAGAUUAAUACCCGAUCGUAUAGUAUUUCCGCAUGGUUUCACUAUUAAAGAUCUUCGGUUAUCUAUGGGGAUGCGUUCCAUUAGAUAGUUGGCGGGGUAACGGCCCACCAAGUCAACGAUGGAUAGGGGUUCUGAGAGGAAGGACCACCAGAUUGGAACUGAGACACGGUCCAAACUGCUACGGGAGGCAGCAGUGAGGAAUAUUAGUCAAUGGACGAGAGUCUGAACCAGCCAAGUAGGGUGAAGGAUGACUGCCCUAUGGGUUGUAAACUUCUUGUAUACGGGAAUAAAGUGGAGUAUGCAUACUCCUUUGUAUGUACCGUAUGAAUAAGGAUCGGCUAACUCCGUG
rnacentral:rRNA from 1 species